rnacentral:tRNA from 1 species
UGGCUCAGUUGGUGGAGCGUGUGGCUCUUGAUCUCAGGGUUGUGGGUUCAAGCCCCAC